rnacentral:rRNA from 1 species
AGGUGCUGCAUGGCUGUCGUCAGCUCGUGUCGUGAGAUGUUGGGUUAAGUCCCGCAACGAGCGCAACCCUUGUCAUUAGUUGCUACGAAAGNGCACUCUAAUGAGACUGCCGGUGACAAACCGGAGGAAGGUGGGGAUGACGUCAAGUCCUCAUGGCCCUUAUGGGUAGGGCUUCACACGUCAUACAAUGGUACAUACAGAGGGCCGCCAACCCGCGAGGGGGAGCUAAUCCCAGAAAGUGUAUCGNAGUCCGGAUUGUAGUCUGCAACUCGACUGCAUGAAGUCGGAAUCGCUAG